rnacentral:rRNA from 1 species
UACGUAGGGUGCGAGCGUUGUCCGGAAUUAUUGGGCGUAAAGAGCUCGUAGGCGGUGUGUCGCGUCGGCCGUGAAAACCUGCAGCUUAACUGUGGGCGUGCGGUCGAUACGGGCAUCACUGGAGUUCGGCAGGGGAGACUGGAAUUCCUGGUGUAGCGGUGAAAUGCGCAGAUAUCAGGAGGAACACCGGUGGCGAAGGCGGGUCUCUGGGCCGAUACCGACGCUGAGGAGCGAAAGCGUGGGGAGCGAACAGG